GAUGAACGCUAGCGGCAGGCUUAAUACAUGCAAGUCGAGGGGCAGCAUGAGUGUAGCAAUACAUUUGAUGGCGACCGGCAAACGGGUGCGGAACACGUACUGAACCUUCCUUUAAGUGGGGAAUAGCCCAGGGAAACUUGGAUUAAUACCCCGUAACAUAAUGAAGUGGCAUCACUUUAUUAUUAUAGCUCCGGCGCUUAAAGAUGGCAGUGCGGCUGAUUAGGUAGUUGGCGGGGUAACGGCCCACCAAGCCUGCGAUCAGUAACUGGUGUGAGAACACGACCAGUCACACGGGGACUGGGACACGGGCCCGACUCCUACGGGAGGCAGCAGUAAGGAAUAUUGGGCAAUGGACGCAAGUCUGACCCAGCCAUGCCGCGUGGAGGAUGAAGGUCCUCUGGAUUGUAAACUUCUUUUAUAUGGGACGAAAAAGGGUCUUUCUAGAUCAACUGACGGUACCAUAUGAAUAAGCACCGGCUAACUCCGUGCCAGCCGCCGCCGUAAGAC
rnacentral:rRNA from 1 species